GGUUGCAAUCGUCUUGUCGUUCACUCUGACAAUAUGAAGGUGAUUGAAAUAAUGAAGAAUGAAGGACAUUCGGCGGGAGCGGCGGCAACAGUGUUCGAUGAUUGCUAUUUUAUAGCUUGUGAUUUUCCUCUUGUUAGGUUCGAACAUUAUAAUGGGGAAGCGAAUAAGGGGGCUCAUGAACUUGCUAGGCUAGCAAAAUUUCCCGUCACUAAGGACUGGUUUGAGGAGCCUAUAAGUGACAUUGUACAUUUACUUAUUGAUGAUGUAAUAAUUAUUUCUAAUCAAUAA
rnacentral:rRNA from 1 species